rnacentral:tRNA from 1 species
GCGCCCGUAGCUUAAUUGGAUUGAGCGCGGCCCUGCGAAGGCUGAGAUUGUGAGUUCGACUCUCACCGGGCGCG